rnacentral:rRNA from 1 species
AUGCAAGUCGAACGAUGAAGCCCAGCUUGCUGGGUGGAUUAGUGGCGAACGGGUGAGUAACACGUGAGCAAUCUGCCCCUGACUCUGGGAUAAGCGCUGGAAACGGCGUCUAAUACCGGAUACGAACCGCCAUCGCAUGGUGAGCGGUUGGAAAGAUUUUUCGGUCUGGGAUGAGCUCGCGGCCUAUCAGCUUGUUGGUGAGGUAAUGGCUCACCAAGGCGUCGACGGGUAGCCGGCCUGAGAGGGUGACCGGCCACACUGGGACUGAGACACGGCCCAGACUCCUACGGGAGGCAGCAGUGGGGAAUAUUGCACAAUGGGCGGAAGCCUGAUGCAGCAACGCCGCGUGAGGGAUGACGGCCUUCGGGUUGUAAACCUCUUUUAGCAGGGAAGAAGCGAAAGUGACGGUACCUGCAGAAAAAGCGCCGGCUAACUACGUGCCAGCAGCCGCGGUAAUACGUAGGGCGCAAGCGUUAUCCGGAAUUAUUGGGCGUAAAGAGCUCGUAGGCGGUUUGUCGCGUCUGCUGUGAAAUCUGGAGGCUCAACCUCCAGCCUGCAGUGGGUACGGGCAGACUAGAGUGCGGUAGGGGAGAUUGGAAUUCCUGGUGUAGCGGUGGAAUGCGCAGAUAUCAGGAGGAACACCGAUGGCGAAGGCAGAUCUCUGGGCCGUAACUGACGCUGAGGAGCGAAAGGGUGGGGAGCAAACAGGCUUAGAUACCCUGGUAGUCCACCCCGUAAACGUUGGGAACUAGUUGUGGGGUCCAUUCCACGGAUUCCGUGACGCAGCUAACGCAUUAAGUUCCCCGCCUGGGGAGUACGGCCGCAAGGCUAAAACUCAAAGGAAUUGACGGGGACCCGCACAAGCGGCGGAGCAUGCGGAUUAAUUCGAUGCAACGCGAAGAACCUUACCAAGGCUUGACAUACACGAGAACGCCGCAGAAAUGUGGAACUCUUUGGACACUCGUGAACAGGUGGUGCAUGGUUGUCGUCAGCUCGUGUCGUGAGAUGUUGGGUUAAGUCCCGCAACGAGCGCAACCCUCGUUCUAUGUUGCCAGCACGUAAUGGUGGGAACUCAUGGGAUACUGCCGGGGUCAACUCGGAGGAAGGUGGGGAUGACGUCAAAUCAUCAUGCCCCUUAUGUCUUGGGCUUCACGCAUGCUACAAUGGCCGGUACAAAGGGCUGCAAUACCGUGAGGUGGAGCGAAUCCCAAAAAGCCGGUCCCAGUUCGGAUUGAGGUCUGCAACUCGACCUCAUGAAGUCGGAGUCGCUAGUAAUCGCAGAUCAGCAACGCUGCGGUGAAUACGUUCCCGGGUCUUGUACACACCGCCCGUCAAGUCAUGAAA